CAGCCGUAAACAAUGUGCGUUAGGUGUGUCGGUAACCACGCGUUACUGAUGCGCCGAAGAGAAAUCGUGAAACGCACCACCUGGGAAGUACGGUCGCAAGGCUGAAACUUAAAGGAAUUGGCGGGGGGAGCACCACAACAGGUGGAGCCUGCGGUUUAAUUGGAUUCAACGCCGGACAUCUCACCGGAUAAGACAGCUGAAUGAUUGUCAAUCUGAAGGUUUUACAUGACUAGCUGAGAGGUGGUGCAUGGC
rnacentral:rRNA from 1 species